rnacentral:tRNA from 1 species
UGUCCAAUGCGGGAAUCGAACCCAGGUCCUAGUGGUCGAAAACCAAACGGUUUAACCAGCCAUGAGCCACCACAAUCGAAUGAC